AGUGAACGCUGGCGGCAGGCCUAACACAUGCAAGUCGAACGGCAACACAGUAAGAGUUUCCUCUUACGGGUGUCGAGUGGCGGACGGGUGAGGCAUAUAUCGGAAUCUACUUUUUCGUGGGGGAAAACGUAGGGAAACUUACGCAAAUACCGCAAAUGACCAACGGGUGAAAGAAGGGGAUUUUCGGACCUUGCGCGAUUCAAUGAUCCGAUGUCGGAGUAGCUAGUGGGCGGGGUAAAGGCCCACAAAGGCAACGAUCCAGAGCGGAUCUGAGAGGGUGAUAGGCCACACUGGAACUGAGACACGGACCAGACUAAGACGGGAGGAAGCAGGAGGGAAUAGUGCGCAAUGGGAGGAAGUAUGACGGAGCAAUGCCGAGUGAGUGAAGAAGGUAUUCGGAUCGUAAAAUUCUGUUGUAAGGGAAGAAGAAAGAAGAUAGUACAUAGACGUGCAUUGACGGGACCUGAAGAGAAAGCAACGGCUAACUACGUG
rnacentral:rRNA from 1 species